rnacentral:lncRNA from 1 species
CUUUUCCCAGAGGAUUCUUUCGGCGGGGGUUGGUUGCGGGGUGGUGCUGCCCAGUUUCUCUCAAAGUCUGCCAUCGGUCACCAGCCCUGGGAGCUGGCAGGGGCUGGGGAGAAGGAAGAGGGAGGAUGUUGCCCAGAAUCGCCCCCACAUGGCCAAGCAGUUGCCUGCCACCUCCUCUUUUCUCCCUCUUCAGAUCCUGGUGAAGACCAUGAUACGUAAACGCUCCUUUGGAAACCCAUUCGAGGGCAGCCGGCGGGAGGAACGCUCACUGUCAGCGCCUGGAAACUUGCUCACCAAAAAACCAACCAGGGAAUGUGAGUCCCUGUCUGAGCUCAAGGAAGCAAGGCAGCGAAGACAACCUCCAGGGCACCGACCCGCCCCCCGUGGGGGAGGAGGAAGUGCUCUUGUGAGAGGCAGUCCCUGCGUGGAAAGUUGCUGGGCCCCCGCCCCCGGCUCCCCCGCACGCAUGCAUCCACUGCGGCCGGAGGAGGCCAUGGAGCCCGAGUAGCUGCCUGGAUCGCUCGACCUCGCAUGCGCGCCGCGUCGCCUCUGGGGGGCUGCUGCACCGCGUUUCCAUAGCAGCAUGUCCUACGGAAACCCAGCACGUGUGUAGAGCCUCGAUCGUCAUCUCUGGUUAUUUGUUUUUUCCUUUGUUGUUUUAAAGGGGACAAAAAAAAAAAAAAAAAAGGACUUGACUCCAUGACGUCGACCGUGGCCGCUGGCUGGCUGGACAGGCGGGUGUGAGGAGUUGCAGACCCAAACCCACGUGCAUUUUGGGACAAUUGCUUUUUAAAACGUUUUUAUGCCAAAAAUCCUUCAUUGUGAUUUUCAGAACCACGUCAGAUAUACCAAGUGACUGUGUGUGGGGUUUGACAACUGUGGAAAGGCGAGCAGAAAACUCCGGCGGUCUGAGGCCAUGGAGGUGGUUGCUGCAUUUGAGAGGGAGUAGGGGGCUAGAUGUGGCUCCUACUGCAAACCGGAAACCAUGGCACCUUCCAGAGCCGUGGUCUCAAGGAGUCAGAGCAGGGCUGGCCCUCAGUAGCUGCAGGGAGCUUUGAUGCAACUUAUUUGUAAGAAGGAUUUUUAAAUUUUUUAUGGGUAGAAUUGUAGUCAGGAAAACAGAAAGGGCUUGAAAUUUAAUAAGUGCUUCUGGAAGGGGAUUUUCCAAGCCUGGAAGGGUAUUCAGCAGCUGUGGUGGGGAAACAUUUCUCCUGAAAGACUGAACGUGUUUCUUCAUGACAGCUGCUCAAAGCAGGUUUCUGAGAUAGUUGACCGAGCUCUGGUAAAUCUCUUUGUCAAAUUACGAAAACUUCAGGGUGAAAUCCUAUGCUUCCAUGUACAUUACAUGGCUUAAGAUUAAACAAAAACAUUUUUCAAGUCUCUAACUAGAGUGAACUCUAGAGCACAGUAGUUCAGAAACUAUUUAGAGCUUCCAGGAUAUAUUUCAGAGCUUCAGGCAUGUGAUCAGUUAGAGCCGAUGAAACCUAUGCCCGCCUGUAUAUAUAUUAGCAGCUUAGCUAGUUCAUAACCUGUAUAUUCUAAAGACUGCUAAGGUUUUGUUUUCAUUUUAAAUCCUAGCUGAUUGUUGUGGUCAAUGAAAUACCCAGUUUCUGGAGGGCCAGGUGGGAAAUGCUUUCACUGGACCAACACACAAAUGAUCAUCCUGAGGAUCUGAGCUUCCCUAGACUCCACACAAUAACCUUGGGGCACCCUUUUAGAGAAGACUGUUGAAACCCACAGCACUCGUUGGGGUAUGAGGAAACCAGGGCUUGGCACAGGAAGUUCCCCUUUGUAGCUAAAAGUCCAGAAAGAAAGGGUUCAUCUUUUUGACUUCCAACUGAUAUUGGGAAGUUUGGUUGAGGUUCAAGUGUGACUCCUUCCAGAGCCACAGGUAGGGGAGUGUGAAGUUGAGGGGGAGGAAAGCUGGAAGGACUCGGCCCUGGGAGAUUCCCAGCUCUGCUUUCCAGCGCUUGGUGGAAUCUGGGCUGGGGAAAGACGGCACCGGGAAACUCUGCUUCCCCAUUGUUUCCAUCUGAUCAGCCGUGGUGUGAGGACUUCUCAGACAAAGGCAAGGCCUCGUGCCCCUGCCCAGCCCAUUCAUGGAGCCCUGGGCCUUCUUGGCUUCCAUAGUUCCUAAGCUCUUGACUGUAGUUUAGCCAGACUUGUUUUGCUAUCUUAUAAGCAGUUCAGAAUUAGGGAAUGCUGGUUUUGAAGAGCAAAGGACAGGUAGUCUAGAGAGGGUCGUCUGGCCUGCUUGCUGGGUCUUUGUAACCCAGCACUUCCUCUUGCCCUCCUGGCUUUAUGUUUAUGGGGAGAGGACUCAAUAGCUCCACCCCUUCUGGCACCAGAUGGGGCUUGGUUAGUUUGCAAUAAGCACCUUGCAGAGGUUAAAGCCAGCGGGUCCCUAGUCUUAGGCCCAGCCUGCUUGUGUGGGCUCUGGCCUGGCCUGGUGGCUGGCCCAGGGGGCAGCAGUGCUUAGAGCUUCUGCAGGGCUUCUCUUGUUUACACAGCUGCAUCAGACAAUGCCAUUUCUCCCCACCACGGAACCUUCCAUCUAAGAUUUCUUCCAGGGAAUGCCAGCAAUCAGGCAGCACCCAGCUGUAGGGGCAGUGGGGUGGGGGAGACCCACAUCGAUGACUUUUUUUUUUUCUUUUAAUGAAGAAACACCAAAGAAAGCUGUGGAAAGGACCUGCCCCACAUGAAAAGGAUAAGCCAAGAUGGCUGUAAACACAGAGCAUUUGAGCUGCCACUCUUGGAGCACAUUGAUUUUUCAAAAGCCAGCUCUGUCAGGAAAGGAGGUGCUGUUAUGAGCAGCUCUUCCAGUGGGCAAAGAGGACGCCCAUAAUUUCUUCCAUUGCUAGCUCAUCUGUGGGACCAAUUUGGUGUAAGCAACCUGUGGCCUGCACUUGUGGCCUCGAAGGAAGCACAAACCCUCCAUCCACUUCCCAUUUCCUCUGCCCUUUUCCACCUCCCCCUUCCAUCCCACCAGCUGCCAGUGGCUCCCAGAAAGCCUUAUUGAGCCCCUUGUUGACACUUGGGGCUGCGGAGGCCUCUCCCUACUGGUCUGGCCUUUCCUGAGAGGCAGGUCUUCCAUCCUCAGAGCCUUUCUGGAACAAGGAGAAUGCCUGUGCAGGUGGACACACAGGCCUGGCCUGUCGCUCUCACUUGUCUUCCAGCGGGGAGCUUCACGUUGCCGAGUGGAAGAACCAUGACCUCCACUUGCUUCCAAGGUGCUAGGGAAGUUUCAGGGUACGCUGGUUCCCCUCUCCAGCUGGAGGCCAAGUUUCUGGGGACUGCAGACUUUUCUACUCUGUGAUCAAUUCAAUGCCCGAUGCUUCUGUUUCAUUCCCGACCCUUUCUACUAUGCAUUUUCCUUUUAUCAGGUGUAUAAAGUUAAAUACUGUGUAUUUAUCACUAAAAAGUACAUGAACUUAAGAGAAAACUAAGCCUUUCGUGUUUUUCCACAGGUGUUUAAGCUUCUCUGUACAGUUGAAAUAAACAGACAGCAAAAUGGUGCCAAGCCUGGGCCUCUUCGGGAGGUUUGUAUUGGUGAUUGUUUAUUUAGGCCGCCUGCCCUGAUGUCUGUAUUCCUUCCUCAGGCUGACAGCGAGGUCAGAUGCCCAAGUCAAG